UACAGAGGUCCCGAGCGUUGUUCGGAUUCAUUGGGCGUAAAGGGUGCGUAGGCGGCGGGGUAAGUCUGAUGUGAAAUACCGGGGCUCAACCCCGGAACUGCAUUGGAUACUGCCUUGCUAGAGAACUGGAGAGGAGACUGGAAUUUACGGUGUAGCAGUGAAAUGCGUAGAGAUCGUAAGGAAGACCAGUGGCGAAGGCGAGUCUCUGGACAGUAUCUGACGCUGAGGCAUGAAGGCCAGGGGAGCAAACGGG
rnacentral:rRNA from 1 species